rnacentral:rRNA from 1 species
GAUCAUGGCUCAGGAUGAACGCUGGCGGCGUGCCUAACACAUGCAAGUCGAACGAAGCACCUUACCUGAUUCUUCGGAUGAAGGUCUGGUGACUGAGUGGCGGACGGGUGAGUAACGCGUGGGUAACCUGCCCUGUACAGGGGGAUAACAGCUGGAAACGGCUGCUAAUACCGCAUAAGCGCACGAGGAGACAUCUCCUUGUGUGAAAAACUCCGGUGGUACAGGAUGGGCCCGCA